GACGAACGCUGGCGGUGUGCUUCACACAUGCAAGUCGAACGAGGUAGCAAUACCUAGUGGCGGACGGGUGAGUAACGCGUGGGAAUCUGCCCAUAGGUGGGGGAUAACUAGCCGAAAGGUUAGCUAAUACCGCAUACGCCGAAAGGUAAAAGGAGUAAUCCGCCUUUGGAUGAGCCCGCGUCCGAUUAGCUAGUUGGUAGAGUAAAAGCCUACCAAGGCGACGAUCGGUAGCUGGUCUGAGAGGAUGAUCAGCCACAAUGGGACUGAGACACGGCCCAUACUCCUACGGGAGGCAGCAGUGGGGAAUUUUACGCAAUGGGGGAAACCCUGACGUAGCGACACCGCGUGAAUGAAGAAGCCCUUUGGGGUGUAAAAUUCUGUCGGCUGGGAAGAAAAAAUAGACGGCACCAGCAAAGGAAGCAUCGGCUAACUACGUGCCAGCAGCCGCGGUAAU
rnacentral:rRNA from 1 species